GCCAACGACCAUACCACGUUGAAUACACCAGUUCUCGUCCGAUUACUGAAGUUGAGCAACGUCGGGCGUAGUUGGUACUUGAAUAGGUGACCGUUUGGGAACACUACGUGCCCUUGGCA